CGCGUAGGCGGUUUUUUAAGUCAGAUGUGUAAUCCCCGAGCUUAACUUGGGAACUGCAUCUGAGACUGGAAGGCUAGAGUACUGGAGAGGGUGGUGGAAUUCCUCGUGUAGCGGUGAAGUGCGUAGAGAUGAGGAGGAACACCAGUGGCGAAGGCGGCCACCUGGACAGUAACUGACGCUGAGGCGCGAAAGUGUGGGUAGCAAACAGGAUUAGAUACCCUGGUAGUCCACGCUGUAAACGAUGAACACUUGGUGUGGAGGGAGUUGACCCCUUCCGUGCCGGAGCUAACGCGUUAAGUGUUCCGCCUGGGGAGUACGGUCGCAAGGCUGAA
rnacentral:rRNA from 1 species